UACGUAGGGGGCAAGCGUUAUCCGGAUUCAUUGGGCGUAAAGCGCGCGCAGGCGGGCCGCUAGGCGGGACCUCUAAUCUUGGGGCUCAACCUCAAGCCGGGUCCCGAACUGGCAGCCUCGAGUGCGGUAGGGGUAAGCGGAAUUCCCGGUGUAGCGGUGGAAUGCGCAGAUAUCGGGAAGAACACCGAUGGCGAAGGCAGCUUACUGGGCCGACACUGACGCUGAGGCGCGAAAGCUAGGGGAGCGAACAGG
rnacentral:rRNA from 1 species